AGGGAAUCUUCGGCAAUGGGCGAAAGCCUGACCGAGCAACGCCGCGUGAAUGAUGAAGGCCUUCGGGUUGUAAAAUUCUGUUAUAAGGGAAGAACGACUUUAGUAGGUAAUGGCUAAAGUGUGACGGUACCUUAUGAGAAAGCCACGGCUAACUACGUGCCAGCAGCCGCGGUAAUACGUAGGUGGCAAGCGUUAUCCGGAAUUAUUGGGCGUAAAGAGCGCGCAGGUGGUUGAUUAAGUCUGAUGUGAAAGCCCACGGCUUAACCGUGGAGGGUCAUUGGAAACUGGUCGACUUGAGUGCAGAAGAGGGAAGUGGAAUUCCAUGUGUAGCGGUGAAAUGCGUAGAGAUAUGGAGGAACACCAGUGGCGAAGGCGGCUUCCUGGUCUGUAACUGACACUGAGGCGCGAAAGCGUGGGGAGCAAAC
rnacentral:rRNA from 1 species